UCUUCUUUUUGGAUUAUCAGCCACAGGAAAAUGGAAAUGAAGAAGAUGCUGAUAAAAAUAUAGAGUUGGAAUUUAAGGAUUGAAAUCCAAAUGAACUUAGUGACCCUAAGUGGAAGAGGAGAGUCAUACUCUUUCUCUUAUCAAACUGAACCUGGGCAAGGCGUCCCAGUGGUCAACCAAUGGGUCGCUGGUGGAUCUAAGCUGGAAACAUGAAUUCCAGCUCCCAGACGGUCAGAGACUGAGUCACACCAGCACAGAAGGAAUGACUAAUGUCCUAACAGCUAAACAUCAUCAGGUGUUGGAGGUGGAGCAAAACAGCCGGUGUUAAAAAUAUUCCUCUGCUACGUGUCUGCUGGGAACACGCAGAUGAGUAAACCAAGGCUCAGAGACAGUGUCUUGCUGGAGUCACCCAAGUGGCUUCCUGCUUCAUCCUGCACCUGCCUUCUUGAAAGAAAACAAGACAUCAGAUACUUAUUCAAAUAAUGGAAUAGCUGAUCAACUAGGUCUCUGCACAAUACCCCAGUUCUUACCUUGGAUGCGUGUUGGAAUCAACUCCGGGAGCUUUAGUGAUACUGAUAAUUGGGCCGUACCCCCAGAGAUUCUGAUUUACAGCCCUGCCUCUACCAAAGGAACAAGUCUCUGCUAACCAAUGGAGGUGGAGAAAGCAUGAGGAGGAGAGCCGAGUCACCCUGAAAAUGACAGAGGCAGAGCUGUUGCCAGAUGCAUGGGGCGGUCCAGCCAAGACCAGAAUGGCCCAGCUAAGCCAGCGUGUGGGCAUUGGAUGAGGAGUGACGUGUCCCUGGACACUCUACAUUGGACAUGCUGCUGCAUCUUCCAGGGCCACCGGGAGCAUUUCUGAACUGCGUUGCUGACAUAAGGCACCACCAGAAUUGGCAAGAAUUUUAAACAAAUUAUUCCAAAACUGAAUGGAAGAAGAUGACGGCGAGAAGGAGACUGGUGGUACAGGAGAAGAUGAGAGAAAUGAUGAGAGAGAAGCAGCAGAGUAUAAAGCAAGAGCAGCUGUUACCUCAAGAAGAAUCACAUUUCUAGAAUUAAGUGUUAGUGUUGCCAUCGACCGUGACAAAGGCUCAGACCAGAGGGAAGGAGGAGAAACAGAGAAAAACGUCUCGAUGUCUGCCAGGAUGCCAGGCCAAGAAUGCAGGCAUGGAUUUAAGAUGGUGGAGGCUGAAGCUGUGCCUUCAAGUUGGAGUUGUGCAUCUGGCUGGUUCUGCUAGCUGAAGGAGUGAUUCUGUUAUCAUUGAUGCUGUAGCUUCUAGGAGGAAGGGAGGCAAAUACACAAAGAAACUGAGGGUCAGAGAAAGUAACUGACUUGCCCAAGAGAUACCAGUAGGAAGUGGAGGAGUUCGGAUCCGUGUUUCUCACACCUGAGCGUGCAUCAGUGCUACAUGGAGAGGUUGUCUGCUGGGCCCCAACACAAUGUGUGAAUCUGCAGAUCUGGGUGAGGCCCUAGAACUUGCAUGUCUCACAAAUUCCCAGGUGUUGCUGAUGUGGCUACUGCUCCAAUGACCCCGCUUUGAGAACCACCAGAUUAAAAGACAAGCCUUCUGAUUCCGAAGCCUGGUCUCUUCUUUCUAAGCCACACUUCCCUACAAAUGGCAGCAGCUCCAAUUGGCUUUCUCCUCCAGCUGUUUAAAAUUCAUCUUUCUUUAAAAUGUAAAAUGCAAAGUUUUAUUUGAACAAUUCAAACCUUUACAAUUGGAUAUCUUCUACCUUAUUAGAAUAUUUGAACAAAAAUGGAAAAUACCUUUUUUUUCCACUGGUAGAACAAUGACUAAUCAUGGUUUUAAAGACUAUUUAAAGAAAAACUGUGGCUUGACAAGAAAAUGUGAACUGUUGAAUGUAUUGUGGCAUUCGUAUAAAUGGCCUCAUUUGCUGAAACAAGAGAUUUAAUAAAUAAAGGUGUA